GAUGAACGCUGGCGGCGUGCCUAACACAUGCAAGUCGAGCGAUUUACUUCGGUAAAGAGCGGCGGACGGGUGAGUAACGCGUGGGUAACCUGCCCUGUACACACGGAUAACAUACCGAAAGGUAUGCUAAUACGAGAUAAAAUACUUUUAUCGCAUGGUAGAAGUAUCAAAGCUUUUGCGGUACAGGAUGGACCCGCGUCUGAUUAGCUAGUUGGUAAGGUAACGGCUUACCAAGGCGACGAUCAGUAGCCGACCUGAGAGGGUGAUCGGCCACAUUGGAACUGAGACACGGUCCAA
rnacentral:rRNA from 1 species